rnacentral:rRNA from 1 species
UACUUUGGUGGCGACCGGCGCACGGGUGCGUAACGCGUAUGCAACCUACCUUUAACAGGGGCAUAACACUGAGAAAUUGGUACUAAUUCCCCAUAACAUUCGAGAAGGCAUCUUCUUGGGUUAAAAACUCCGGUGGUUAAAGAUGGGCAUGCGUUGUAUUAGCUAGUUGGUGAGGUAACGGCUCACCAAACCUUCGAUGGAUAGGGGUUCUGAGAGGAAGGUCCCCCACAUUGGAACUGAGACACGGUCCAA